AUGAAUUUGAGUAUAAUAGCCUUUCCUGAAGGCAAUUUGAGAAUCCAUCUAAAAAGCCUAAAAUUGGAGCUGAGGCAAGCGUUGUGGGGGAGAAGGGUAGUGACUGUAGCUGCCGUUUCUGUUUCCAAGGUUUCGACCAGGUCGUUGAGCACUUCCACGUGGAGGCUGGCACAAGACCAAACUCGAGACACGCAGCUCAUAACAGCUGAUGGAAUAUUGGAUAUUACUACUUUAACUGGUGUUCCAGAAGAGCAUAUCAAAACUAGAAAAGCCAGGAUCUUUGUUCCUGCUCACAAUAACAUGCAGUCUGGAGUAAACAACACAAAGAAAUGGAAGAUGGAGUUUGAUACCAGAGAGAGAUGGGAAAAUCCUUUGAUGGGUUGGGCGUCAACAGCUGAUCCCUUAUCCAACCUGGUUCUGACUUUCAGUAUAAAGAAGAUGCAGUUGCCUUUGCAGAAACAAAUGGAUGGAGCUAAGACGUUGAGGAGAGAAAGGUUCUGAAACCUAAGUCCAAGUCUUAUGGUGCAAACUCUUCUUGGAAUAAAAGAACAAGAGUAUCCACAAAAUAG